UACAGAGAGUGCAAACGUUUGUUCGGAAUUACUGGGCUUGAAGCGCACGUAGGCGGCGUUGUAAGUGUCGGGUGAAAUCCCACGGCUCACCCGUGGAACUGCCCGGCAUACUGCGAUGCUAGAGUGUGGUAGGGGAGAGCGGAACUCCUGGUGGAGCGGUGAAAUGCGUAGAUAUCAGGAGGAACACCGGUGGCGAAGGCGGCAUCCUGGACUGGUCCUGACACUCAUGAGCGAAAGCGUGGGGAGCGAUCCGG
rnacentral:rRNA from 1 species